rnacentral:rRNA from 1 species
AUGCACGCUGGCGGCGUGCCUAAUACAUGCAAGUCGAGCGAACAGACGAGGAGCUUGCUCCUCUGAUGUUAGCGGCGGACGGGUGAGUAACACGUGGAUAACCUACCUAUAAGACUGGGAUAACUUCGGGAAACCGGAGCUAAUACCGGAUAACAUGUUGAACCGCAUGGUUCAACAGUGAAAGACGGUCUUGCUGUCACUUAUAGAUGGAUCCGCGCCGCAUUAGCUAGUUGGUAAGGUAACGGCUUACCAAGGCAACGAUGCGUAGCCGACCUGAGAGGGUGAUCGGCCACACUGGAACUGAGACACGGUCCAGACUCCUACGGGAGGCAGCAGUAGGGAAUCCUCCGCAAUGGGCGAAAGCCUGACGGAGCAACGCCGCGUGAGUGAAGAAGGUCUUCGGAUCGUAAAACUCUGUUAUUAGGGAGGAACAAAUGUGUAAGUAACUAUGCACGUCUUGACGGUACCUAAUCAGAAAGCCACGGCUAACUACGUG